rnacentral:lncRNA from 1 species
UAUGAAAAUUUUUCAAAUUGAAUCAUAAUACAUAAUAAAAAAAAUUUCCUCUCUUAUUCCUGUUUCGAAAGAACACGAAAUCCAACUAAUAAGAGAUAAUCAGAAAUGUAUUCCAACGGAAUUCUUUCGAAAUUCGAAUAAAAAAAAUCGAUAGUAUGGUAAAAAGAACUAUAUAGUUCUUUCUACCGUACUGUCAGAUCUUAUUCACUAGAUACUAGUUAGUCUAAUUUGUUCAUUUCAUCUAAGACACGCAAUUGGAAUUUUUUUUCAUUUUUUCUUUAAUCGUUCAUAUUGAUGAGAACUAAGAA